rnacentral:lncRNA from 1 species
GUCAGCACCGUGCUCCAUGUCCCAAACCCAUAACCCUGAUGUUGUCAGCACCGUGCUCCAUCUGGGAAUCAAACCCAUAACCCUGAUGUUGUCAGCACCGUGCUCCAUGUCCCAAACCCAUAACCCUGAUGUUGUCAGCACCGUGCUCCAACCAACUGAGCCACCUCAGAACUGCCACACCGUGAGCAUGAUGAAGAUAUCACAGUGAGUCUUUUUUCUAACUCUUUGCCCCAACGCAGCUCUCCUGUGCCCUGACCUCUUGUCGCUACAGAAACAGUGCGCUGCCCUCACAAUACUCACUCGCUCCGGGAGAGACGCAAAGGGGAGGAGACGGAGGAGGAGGGAAGCUCCGAGCUGGACAGAGAGAUGAAGAGGGACUCUGGCAUGCAAGAGAGCUGGUAUCUGCUAGGGAGCUGGAAGUACAUCAGGCUGAACCAUACAGCCCCAUCACCAUCAUCCCUGGACCACUCAGCACCCGUGCACGCCUGAGGAAUACAGAGGAUGUCCACACACACUCACACACACACACACACACACACACACACACACACACACACACACACACACACACACACACACACACACACACACACACACACACAGCGGAUGUGUGCGGCCGUACUUUUAAAACUAAUAAUGUUCAUUCAUGUCCCAAAUUUCAUUCCUGUGAGAUCAUCACCUCAAACUGUUUUGUAGCACACGUGAUGACCUCUUGAGUUUUGUAACAUUUUUUGUAAAACAUUUAUAAGUGAAG